UAACCAUCGACAGUCGUUGUGCUACCGCAACCAUGUCUAAUCACCCAAAACCCCCUUUUCCUCUCAAAUUCUCUUGUUUUCUUCUCCCUAGGGGUUUGGGUUUGUUUUGCCAUAGGAAACUAACACCUUCGGCUAUGACCUAUGAUUGCCACCACUCUGGUGAACCCCCCCCUUCUCCUCUCAUUUCUUUCUUGGCCGAGGUGGCUAUCACUAAGGUAGUUGGGGUGGUGCCCUCUUUCCUCUUG
rnacentral:lncRNA from 1 species